UGGGUUGUGGCUUAGUGGUAGAGCACUUGCCUAGCAUGCAUGAGGCACUGGGUUUGAACUCUGGCACCACAU
rnacentral:tRNA from 1 species